UACGUAGGGUGCGAGCGUUGCCCGGAUUUAUUGGGCGUAAAGGGCGCGUAGGCGGCUCGGCACGUCCGUUGUGAAAUCGCCCGGCUCAACUGGGCGGGGUCAGCGGAUACGGUCGAGCUUGAGCAAGCUAGGGGGCAAUGGAAUUCCCGGUGUAGUGGUGAAAUGCGUAGAUAUCGGGAGGAACACCUGUGGCGAAAGCGGCGCACUGGACCACAACUGACGCUGAGGCGCGAAAGCUAGGGGAGCAAACAGG
rnacentral:rRNA from 1 species